UAUUUAUGAAUCUCUAAAGCAAACUUAGGAAGAAGUAAAUAGAUAUUCCGGAAAGACUUUAUGGGAAACUGAUCCCUAUUUUGAUGUUAGACACAUGAAGAAAAUCCAGGAAACUCAAUGAAUAAUACGAACUAUUCAUGAAAAAUCACAAAGGUAAUACUUUUAGUAAUGAAUUGCAAUAGCAAAGGCCAUCAAGGAUAAAUUGGAAUAAAACGAUUCUGGAAAACAUGAAUUACAAGAUAAGGACGAAGUGAAUAGAAAGGAAUAACGACUAAGAUAAUAAAAAAGAAAGA